UGCCUUUUCCCGGUAAUGUUUCAUAUGC
rnacentral:piRNA from 1 species